GAUGAACGCUGGCGGCGUGCUUAACACAUGCAAGUCGAACGAUGAAGCCCAGCAUGCGGGGUGGAUUAGUGGCGAACGGGUGAGUAACACGUGAGUAACCUGCCCUUAACUCUGGGAUAAGCCUGGGAAACUGGGUCUAAUACCGGAUAGGAGCGCCUACCGCAUGGGGGGUGUUGGAAAGAUUUAUCGGUUUUGGAUGGACUCGCGGCCUAUCAGCUUGUUGGUGAGGUAAUGGCUCACCGAGGCGACGACGGGUAGCCAGCCUGGGAGGGUGACCGGCCCCGCUGGGCCUGGGACACGGCCCAGACUCCUCCGGGAGGCAGCAGUGGGGAAUGUUGCACAAUGGGCUAAAGCCUGGUGCAGCGACGCCGCGUGAGGGAUGACGGCCUUCGGGUUGUAAACCUCUUUCAGUAGGGAAGAAGCGAAAGUGACGGUACCUGCAGAAGAAGCACCGGCUAACUACGUG
rnacentral:rRNA from 1 species